rnacentral:rRNA from 1 species
AGGUGGUUUCUUAAGUCUGAUGUGAAAGCCCACGGCUCAACCGUGGAGGGUCAUUGGAAACUGGGAGACUUGAGUGCAGAAGAGGAAAGUGGAAUUCCAUGUGUAGCGGUGAAAUGCGUAGAGAUAUGGAGGAACACCAGUGGCGAAGGCGACUUUCUGGUCUGUAACUGACACUGAGGCGCGAAAGCGUGGGGAGCAAACAGGAUUAGAUACCCUGGUAGUCCACGCCGUAAACGAUGAGUGCUAAGUGUUAGAGGGUUUCCGCCCUUUAGUGCUGAAGUUAACGCAUUAAGCACUCCGCCUGGGGAGUACGGCCGCAAGGCUGAAACUCAAAGGAAUUGACGGGGGCCCGCACAAGCGGUGGAGCAUGUGGUUUAAUUCGA